rnacentral:rRNA from 1 species
UACGUAGGGGGCAAGCGUUGUCCGGAUUUAUUGGGCGUAAAGCGCUCGCAGGUGGUCCGAUGCGUCGUGCGUGAAAGACCCCGGCUCAACUGGGGAGGGUCGUGCGAUACGGUCGGACUGGAGGCCAGUAGGGGGAUGCGGAAUUCCGGGUGUAGUGGUGGAAUGCGUAGAGAUCCGGAGGAACACCAGCGGCGAAGGCGGCAUCCUGGACCAACACUGACGCUGAGGAGCGAAAGCCAGGGGAGCAAACGGG